rnacentral:lncRNA from 1 species
CUAAAAUAACUAGUUCUUACUUAACCCCGAAUCAAACCUCACCUUAAUCCUGAACUUAAUUCUAUUCCUAAAAAAACUAAUUUUUUACUUCACCCCAAAUCAAACGAUAAAAGGAACAACGAUGUAGUGGCGGAAACCUUCAAAAUGUAGGAUGGAAUAAAUACAAAAAUAAAAAAUUCAUAUAAUGAAGAGAAAUAAGAAACGGGUAAAAGCCAUUCUUUUGCUUUCACCUUUUAUUGUUUCCUCCUAUCUCAUGUGGUAUUCGUAAGUCCUUUCUCACUUUCCCCAAACCCAUUUGACCCAUGAAAUAUAUAGUAAGAGCAUUAAAAAAACACUCACAGAGGUUCAUAUAUAUUAAUUGACGCAUAAAAAAUAGUAAUUGUGUGGGCUACUAUAUUGUGAUGCAGGGGAUUAUAAUAUUAAUUACAACCUAUUAAAAGACAAAUGUAUAUAUAGAGAGAGAGAGAGCGCGCCACACAUCUAUACUUUUAAAAAUACGAAGGCUUUUGUACUUAUAAAUUAUUUUCAAUAAUAAAAUAUUUAAUUCGACGACCGAUUUUAUUGGACAUAAUCUACGUUAUUAGAACUAUUUAGAAAUUAAUUUUUUUUAUUUUUUAAUUUAUUUUAACUAAUGAACAAGUAAUUUAAAAAUAAACAGAAAAAAAUAAAAAUUUUAUAAAAAAUAAUAAUAAAAUU